GGUGUCCCCAGUGCCUUGGCUGCCCUGAUGCCAUCUCUAGAGCUGAGUGCCCAGGUCCUGAUCUCUUUUUUGAUCCUAGUUCCCCUUUCCUAGGCGCCCCCAAAGUGUCCCCUCCUGCUGUGACUUCUAGCCAAGAAGACAUUUCUCCCAUGGCCAAGUGAUCUCUGAUAGAUCCUGUAGGACCACUGAAGUCAGACAGGACAAGUUGAGUCAGGGCCUGU
rnacentral:lncRNA from 1 species